rnacentral:rRNA from 1 species
AUUGAACGCUGGCGGCAGGCCUAACACAUGCAAGUCGAGCGAGCGGCGGACGGGUGAGUAAUGUCUGGGGAUCUGCCUGAUAGAGGGGGAUAACUACUGGAAACGGUGGCUAAUACAGCAUACUAUCGGAUGAACCCAUAUGGGAUUAGCUAGUAGGUGGGGUAAAGGCUCACCUAGGCGACGAUCUCUAGCUGGUCUGAGAGGAUGACAAGCCACACUGUAACUGAGACACGGACAUGACUCCUACGGGAGGCAGCAGUGGGGAAUAUUGCACAAUGGGCGCAAGCCUGAUGCAGCCAUGCCGCGUGUAUGAAGAAGGCCUUAGGGUUGUAAAGUACUUUCAGCGGGGAGGCGUUACCCGCAGAAGAAGCACCGGCUAACUCCGUGCCAGCAGCCGCGGUAAUUC